rnacentral:lncRNA from 1 species
AAGAAUUUUUAUCAAUAUAUUGUAUUUUUAAAUAAUUUUCUUAAAAACUGCUAUUUCUGGAAAGUUUUCAUUUUUUAGAGAAAUAUUGUAGAUUUGGGUUUGUGAUUUAAAAAUUAGGAUAACAAGAAUAUUUGUGGAUAGAUGAAUAUUAUUUAAGAAUUUUUCAUCAAUGUGUUGUAUUUUUAAAUAAAUUUCUUAAAAACUGCUAUUUUUGGAAAGUUUUCAUUUUUUAGAAAAAUAUUGUAGAUUAGGGUUUGUGAUUUAAAAAUUAGGUUAACAAUAAUAUUUGUGGGUAGAUGAAAAUUAUUUAAGAAUUUUUUAUCAAUGUGUUGUAUUUUUAAGUAAUUUUCUUAAAAACUGCUAUUUUUGGAAAGUUUUCAUUUCUUAGAAAAAUAUUUUAGAUUUGGGUUUGUGAUUUAAAAAUUAGGAUAACAAUAAUAUUUGUGGAUAGAUGAAUACUCUUUAAGAAUUUUUCAUCAACACGUUGUAUUUUUAAAUAAUUUUCUUAAAAACUGCUAUUUUUGGAAACUUUUCAUUUUUUAGAGAAAUGUUGUAGAUUUGGUGUUGUGAUUUAAAAAUUAGGAUAACAAGAAUAUUUGUGGAUAGAUGAAUAUUAUUUAAGAAUAUUUCAUCAAUGUGUUGUAUUUCUUAAUAAUUUUCUUAAAAACUGCUAUUUUUGGAAAGUUUUCAUUUUUUAGAGAAAUAUUGUAGAUUUGGGUUUGUGAUUUAAAAAUUAGGAUAACAAUAAUAUUUGUGGAUAGAUGAAUAUUAUUUAAGAAUUUUUCAUCAAUGUGUUGUAUUUUUAAGUAAUUUUUUUAAAAACUGCUAUUUUUGGAAAUUUUUCAUUUUUUAGAAAAAUAUUUUUGAUUUGGGUUUGUGAUUUAAAAAUUAGGAUAACAAUAAUAUUUGUGGAUAGAUGAAUACUUUUUAAGAAUUUUUCAUCAACACGUUGUAUUUUUAAAUAAUUUUUUUAAAAACUGCUAUUUUUGGAAACUUUUCAUUUUUUAGAGAAAUGUUGUAGAUUUGGUGUUGUGAUUUAAAAAUUAGGAUAACAAGAAUAUUUGUGGAUAGAUGAAUAUUAUUUAAGAAUAUUUCAUCAAUGUGUUGUAUUUCUUAAUAAUUUUCUUAAAAACUGCUAUUUUUGGAAAGUUUUCAUUUUUUAGAGAAAUAUUGUAGAUUUGGGUUUGUGAUUUAAAAAUUAGGAUAACAAUAAUAUUUGUGGAUAGAUGAAUAUUUUUUAAGAAUUUUUCAUCAAUGUGUUGUAUUUUUAAGUAAUUUUCUUAAAAACUGAUAUUUUUGGAAAAUUUUCAUUUUAUUGAUAAAUGUUGUAGAUUUGGGUUUGUGGUUUAGAAAUUAGGAUAACAAAAAUAUUUGUGGAUAGAUGAGUAUUAUUUAAGAAUUUUUCAUCAAUGUGUUGUAUUUUAAAUAAUUUUCCUAAAAACUACUAUUUUUGGAAAGUUUUUAUUUUAAAGAGAAAUAUUAUAGAUUUGGGUUUGUGAUUUAAAAAUUAGGAUAACAAAAAUAUUUGUGGAUAGAUGAGUAUUAUUUAAGAAUUUUUCAUCAAUGUGUUGUAUUUUAAAUAAUUUUCCUAAAAACUACUAUUUUUGGAAAGUUUUUAUUUUAAAGAGAAAUAUUAUAGAUUUGGGUUUGUGAUUUAAAAAUUAGGAUAACAAAAAUAUUUGUGGAUAGAUGAGUAUUAUUUAAGAAUUUUUCAUCAAUGUGUUGUAUUUUUAAAUAAUUUUCUUAAAAUUGCUAUUUUUGGAAAGUUUUCAAAUUUAUAAAAUCAUUGUAGAUUUGGAUAACUAGACUAUUUGUGGACAGCUGAAUACACUUGAAGAAUUUUUCAUCAGCAGGUUAUAUUUUUAAAUAAUUUUCUUAGAAACUGCUAUUUGUGGAAAGUUUUCAUUUUUUAGAGAAAUAUUAUAGAUUUGAGUUUGUAAUUUACAAAUUAGGAUAACAAGAAUAUUUGUGGAUAGAUGAGUAUUAUUCAAUAAUUUUUCAUCAAUGUGUUGUAUUUUUAAAUAAAUUUUUAAAAAUUGCUAUUUGUGGAGAAUUUUCAUUUUAUAGAUAAAUAUUGUAGAUUUGAGUUUGUGAUUUUAAAUUUAGGAUAACAAAAGUAUUUUUGGAUAUAUGAGUAUUAUUUAAGAAUUUUUCAUCAAUAGGUUGUAUUUUUAAAAUAAUUUUCUUAAAAACUGCUAUUUUUGGAAAGUUUUCAUUUUUAGAGAAAUAUUGUAGAUUUGGGUUUGUGAUUUAGAAAUUAGGAUAACUAGACUAUUUGUGGACAGCUGAAUACACUUUAAGAAUUUUUCAUCAAUGUGUUGUAUUUUUUAAAUAAUUUUCUUAAAAACUGGUGUUUUUGGAAAGUUUUCAUUUUUUAGAGAAAUAUUAUAGAUUUGGGUUUGUGAUUUAAAAAUUUGGAUAACAAGAAUAUUUGGGAUAGAUGAGUAUUAUUCAAGAAUUUUUCAUCAAUGUGUUGUAUUUUUAAAUAAUUUUCUUAAAAACUGCUAUUUUUGGAAAGUUUUCAUUUUAUAGAUAAAUAUUGUAGAUUUGAGUUUGUGAUUUUAAAUUUAGGAUAACAAGAAUAUUUGUGGAUAUAUGAGUAUUAUUCAAGAAUUUUUCAUCAAUAGGUUGUAUUUUUAAAAUAAUUUUCUUAAAAACUGCUAUUUUGGGAAAGUUUUCAUUUUUAGAGAAAUAUUGUAGAUUUGGGUUUGUGAUUUAGAAAUUAGGAUAACUAGACUAUUUGUGGACAGCUGAAUACACUUUAAGAAUUUUUCAUCAAUGUGUUGUAUUUUUUAAAUAAUUUUCUUAAAAACUGGUGUUUUUGGAAAGUUUUCAUUUUUUAGAGAAAUAUUAUAGAUUUGGGUUUGUGAUUUAAAAAUUUGGAUAACAAGAAUAUUUGGGAUAGAUGAGUAUUAUUCAAGAAUUUUUCAUCAAUGUGUUGUAUUUUUAAAUAAUUUUCUUAAAAACUGCUAUUUUUGGAAAGUUUUCAUUUUAUAGAUAAACAUUGUAGAUUUGGGUUGGUGAUUUAAAAUUUAGGAUAACAAAAAUAUUUGUGGAUAGAUGAGUAUUAUUCAAGAAUUUUUCAUCAAUGUGUUGUAUUUUUAAAUCAUUUUCUUAAAAACUGCUAUUUUGGGAAAGUUUUCAUUUUUAGAGAAAUAUUGUAGAUUUGGGUUUGUGAUUUAGAAAUUAGGAUAACUAGACUAUUUGUGGACAGCUGAAUACACUUUCAGAAUUUUUCAUCAAUAUGUUGUAUUUUUAAAAUAAUUUUCUUAAAAACUGCUAUUUUUGGAAAAUUUUCAUUUUUUAGAGAAAUAAUAUAGAUUUGGGUUUGUGAUUUAAAAAUUAGGAUAACAAGAAUAUUUGUGGAUAGAUGAGUAUUAUUCAAGAAUUUUUCAUCAAUGUGUUGUAUUUUUAAAUAAUUUUCUUAAAAACUGCUAUUAUUGGAAAGUUUUUAUUUUAAAUAGAAAUAUUAUAGAUUUGGGUUUGUGAUUUAAAAAUUAGGAUAACAAAAAUAUUUGUGGAUAGAUGAGUAUUAUUCAAGAAUUUUUCAUCAAUGUG